UACGUAGGGGGCAAGCGUUGUCCGGAAUCAUUGGGCGUAAAGCGCGUGUAGGCGGCCCGAUAAGUCCGCUGUGAAAGUCCAGGGCUCAACCCUGGAAUGCCGGUGGAUACUGUCGGGCUCGAGUCCGGAAGAGGCGAGUGGAAUUCCGUGGUGUAGCGGUGAAAUGCGCAGAUAUCAGGAGGAACACCUAUGGCGAAGGCAGCUCUCUGGGACGGUACUGACGCUGAGACGCGAAAGCGUGGGGAGCGAACAGG
rnacentral:rRNA from 1 species